CAUUUCAGCGUGAGCCUUAACAAU
rnacentral:siRNA from 1 species